UUUGCUACUUUUCACUAACUCUGCUUACUUAUUUUCAUUUUUAAUGCUCUGUGAGCUACGUACAACUUUCAAUACAGGGCAUGUGCACAGCUGGUUAAUUUUUUUUUAUUAAUUUUUUCCCCCUCUUUUAAAUCUAUUUUUUUAUUUAAUUUUUUUUAUAUAUAUUGCCAUUGGUGUUCUUUUUGGGGGGCUGGGGUUGCUCGUGUCAUGUACAAGGCUGUACUAGUUGGAUACUUUGAAUUGUUAUUUGAAUCUAUAUUAAAUAUUUGUGAUCCGAAUGAGAUCAUGGCAUUGAUAUAAGUACUUAUCAUUAGAUUAUUCUAUUCGAUAUAUUCUUCUGAAAUAUGUGUUGUAUAAAUUUUUUGACUCCGCUGAAAUAGAAAUUUUAUUAGAAAGGAAAAAAAGAAAGACAAGAGCAGUCUUAAACACCCGCGAGAAACCACGGGUAAACGAAAACAAACACCCAAACUAUGAGAAAAUAUUUAGAGAUUCAUCCUCAUCCAAAGAGUCGUCGUCGUCCAACAUAUCUCCCCAUCUUUUAGAAACCACCGCCGACAUAGCUCGAGCAGCGUUGGAAGAAGAAUGAAUCACAAAAUUUUGUAGAAUCGCACCUCCAUCCUGAGCAUGUUGGACUUUAUUCAAGAACUCCACUGGCACAAUAUGUGCUCCUGCGCCCUGCAAAACGGCACCAUCCGCAUGACUCUUACUCAUAUCCAUACCAUUCUUGAUUAUACGCCGGAGCCGGUGCUUUAUAGAGGAAUCAGAAACCCUCCCCUUCUUGGUAGAACCCUUUGGGCGCCCACGGCCGCGAGGUAUGGGAGAAUCCUCCUUCAUCGCCUUUCCUGGCAUCACCACCAAAGCUAGAUCCGAUUGCGGGACCUGAAGCAUAGUCUCUGCAGAGGAAGACGACCCAAGUUGGGCCUCAGGGAGGACCUGAUGCAGAAACACCGCAGAAGAGGGAGACCUGGUCGGCAUCAGAACAGGCUGCCCACCAGAACCCGUCGGAAAUGGUUCCCGAGGUGAAAGGGACGCCGAGGGGUGAGGAUCCUCAAACGGCCCCUUAGGCAAAGGCUGCGUGUCAUGUCGCUCUGGAGUAUCCGCUUCCUCUUCAACCGAAAAUUCCCCCUCCUCAACAUCGAGACCAGCAAAUUGAUUUUUUCCCGUGGCCAGAGACUCCUGCUGCUCUUUAGGCUUCCAGUUACUAACUUUAGCAGGAGGCUUGAAAGUAUUCAACACCUGUUUGCUGACUUCCUUCGCUGGCAUAUUGGCAUCCUUGUUCGUCCCCUGAUUAUUGCCUUCCUUAGUUGGAGCCUGCUUGGAAUCAUUACCAUCGGCAUUGAUUUUAAGCCGCUUGCAUUCAUCGAGAACGUGGCCUGUUAUUUUGCAUAGAGAGCAGUAGCGAGGCAAAUGUUCAUAGACAAAUUCCACAUAAAAGGAAGUAAUAUCGCAAUCAAUUGUCAUAGAGUCAAUUAAAGGAAGAGACAAAUCAAUCUCAACAAGCAAUCGAGCAAAACUUCCCACUUCCCGAUUUGCCGAAGCGCCAUCCAAUUUGAUAGGAAAUCCUAACGUACGUCCCAUGGCUGCAAAAACCUCUGGGUGCCAAUAUUCAGCGGGCAUAUUAUAUAUGCGAACCCAAACUUGACUGAGGGAAGAAAUCUCCUUAUGAGGAUCAAAGUUGCGAGUCCAUUCACGCAAUCGAAGUGAGCCAGAAGAAAGAUCCCAAACCGUUUUGGCCUUGGCUAUGUCUUUGUCUUGUUGCGUUCCGAACUUCAGCGUGAAAAAUCCUUUUCCCAUCGGAAUCAAUUGCCAACCAUUUUUCAGGUUCCAUAAACGUUGCAAGUCGGAUUUGAUGUCUUGUGUAGAUCUCGGUUUGUCACCCUUUUGUAGGAAAAGUCGCCCAAUAGCGGCAUGCUUAAAGCCCUCCAAGUUCUCAUCAAUGAGGGCCUUAGGGAUGGUGAGUGAGAAACCGCUCCCCGUUCUCUCGGAAUUCAGCGAAGUGAAUUUGUGGAUGAGUAAAUCAGGCUUCCGCUGAGACGAUGUAUGAAGCAGAGAUGCAAAGGUCCUUUUCGUAGCCUUAGCAGACCCACUGUCUCCAGUAUCCGCGAUCGGCGCAACACUUGUUUGAACAGCCUUUGGCGUCGGUGUGGUAGCCGCACUUUGUGCCUGAAAACCAGAAAAGUUGGCUCCAUGGUUCGCAUCUCUCACCAGAUGGGAGUUCGGGGAGAAGUUGUUAGAGAUAGGAGGGAAAUCAAAACGUGAAGGCAAGGCCGCCGAGGAGUUCGGGGCUGCGAGAGCCUCCGGCGCCGUCAUCAGGAGAUCGCCACUUUGAGCAGCUGAGCCGUGAGCGCCGGUGGAAGUCCGGAGUCGCGGCCUGCCGGAGAAGAGCCCUCGCGGUGGGGAGUCUGGAUCGGAAGGCGCGGCGUGCUAUCAGCGCCGCCGUCCGAGCAGAUGAGAGCAGCUGCGCCUUGAACGCCGGUGGAGGGCGGCGUCGUCGGUGACGAUCUGCUGCUGCUGCGAGGAGCGGAGGGCCGAUCUGCUGCUGCUGCGAGGAGGGCCGAUCUGCUGCUGCUGCGAGGAGGGCGGCGUCGUCGGUGACGCAACGGCCAAGGAGAAGCCGGGGAGGGGAGAGAUGGCACCGGCGUGGCUCCGCACACGCACAGUUGGUCAAAAAGCUUGUGCUUUCAUUUUUCGCGUGGGGGACAAAAGCUCCUUGUCAAUUACAAUCUUUGUGAGAGAAUUCUCUGUAAUUACUUUCUCCGAGAGAAUAUGACUCCAAACAUUAAGAAAUAUUUAUGCAUUUAUACUGGUACUAAAUUCGUG
rnacentral:lncRNA from 1 species